rnacentral:rRNA from 1 species
GGAAUCUUCCACAAUGGACGCAAGUCUGAUGGAGCAACGCCGCGUGAGUGAAGAAGGUUUUCGGAUCGUAAAGCUCUGUUGUAAGAGAAGAACGUGUGUGAGAGUGGAAAGUUCACACAGUGACGGUAACUUACCAGAAAGGGACGGCUAACUACGUGCUAG